rnacentral:ncRNA from 1 species
UAAAAUGCAAGGAACGGAGAGAGUAUAUUACUGCUGCAUGUAAGGAUGCAGGUGUUUGCCCAGAGAAGGAAUGCCGCCGGCUGAAAGCAUUCCUGUAAACAGGUAAUAGAAGUGCAUCCGGGAGCAGGUCUUGUGAAGAAACAGAUUUAAAGUGCAGGGCAUAUAGUAGCAGGACACGUAUUCACACGUUACGUGCAAUGAGUGAAGGCAGCAGCCUUUAGUAGAGUGGAACCGCGGAUAACUUCGUCUCUAGG